rnacentral:lncRNA from 1 species
GAAAAGGCUCUGAAACAGAUCCAAGAUGUUGUUUGAGCCAUGCAACUAGAAGAUCUCAUAGAACUAAAGUUAUCUAAUUUACAGAAAAGGUUUUACGUGACGUCUAUUGUACAGAUUCAUAUGAAAACCAUAGUUCAAACUCCAAGGUUUAAGAAGUAAGAAAGAUCAUGCCAUUUGCAACAAACAUGCAUGCAUAUUUGAAAAGCAACUGUAAGUAUGCUAUUGGACAUUGGUAAAGAUUGAAUAUCUGACCAUGGCAUAUCAAGAAACCAUGGAAUGAGUACUGCUUAUCAAGAUCUGGGUGUGAGAAGACUUAAAAAGUCAGAUAGUCAGUGAGAACCAGCUAGAAUCCAUGAAAUUGUGACCAAUAAGAAUCCCAGAGAAGUUCUGCCCUAAUGGAGUCAACUUGAUUUGAGAUGCAAAUAGAUUUGCGCAAUUGAAAAAGUGGGAAGAUGAAGUGUUUGGAGGGCUUUUAAAUGGAGUAAAAUGGAAACAAAGACAAGUUAUCCCAACACCAAAAAGAGUAGGGGAUAGAAGGAUAUGUCAAGGUUUGAAAACCAUCCUUCAGAAAUGCAGGAAAGUCAAAGCUAGAAAUCUGUUGUGGGAAAACUAGAAGACCAAAAAAAGCACGAAAGUCAAGAAAGAAGUCUCUUUUCACAUGAAAGUGGCCUGAAGACAAAUACUGCUAUGAAUGGUUACAUCUAGGACUUCUGAAAUUAGCCCCAGAUUCAACUCAUUUUUUUCUGCAUUUGCUGAGCAAUAUGACAUGUUUACACCGAUUAGCUAAAAAGUUAUGUGAAGAAUGGGCAACAAUAUCUCUAAGUAACUAGGAGACCAUGUCCCUUGGCAUAAGUAUUGAUCUUCAAUAAUUUGUCCUUGAUAUUGAGAGAAGAGGAUCAAACUAUUUGAACCGGAUUGCUGUACUUCAACAUGUAAAGUGAAAAUGCAGACCCAGUUGACUAUAUUUCACUCAUUUGGGCCAAAGAAGCAGAAGUUUAUUAACAAAGAAGGAGAAUAACAAAAGAAAUAUAAGAUGGAAAGAAAAGCAAAAAGAAAGAAAACUAAAGAAAAAGCAAAAGAAAGAAUACUAAAUCUGAAAUACAUUUUCGUCCCCAAAUCAAGUUGGUGCAUAAAGUUCAAAUGUUUUCCUGA